CAGUCGCCGCGGUAAUACGAAGGGGGCUAGCGUUGCUCGGAAUGACUGGGCGUAAAGGGCGCGUAGGCGUCGAUCAAAGUCAGGCGUGAAAUUCCUGGGCUCAACCUGGGGGCUGCGCUUGAUACUUGGUUGCUUGAGUGGGGAAGAGGGUCGUGGAAUUCCCAGUGUAGAGGUGAAAUUCGUAGAUAUUGGGAAGAACACCGGUGGCGAAGGCGGCGACCUGGUCCUUGACUGACGCUGAGGCGCGAAAGCGUGGGGAGCAAACAGGAUUAGAUACCCCGGUAGUCCCUGUCUCUUAUAA
rnacentral:rRNA from 1 species